rnacentral:rRNA from 1 species
AGCGAACGUUAGCGGCGCGCCUAACACAUGCAAGUCGCACGAGAAAGGGAGCAAUCCCCGGUACAGUGGCGCACGGGUGAGUAACACGUAGAUGACCUUCCCUGGAGUGGUGGAUAACCUGCCGAAAGGCGGGCUAAUACAGCAUGGGACCACAUGGUUUUGACCGAGUGGUGAAAGCGGGCCUCUGUUCACAAGCUCGCGCUCUGGGAUGGGUCUGCGUCCCAUCAGCUAGUUGGUGAGGUAAUGGCUCACCAAGGCAUCGACGGGUAGCUGGUCUGAGAGGAUGACCAGCCACACUGGAACUGAGACACGGUCCAGACUCCUACGGGAGGCAGCAGUGGGGAAUCUUGCGCAAUGGGCGAAAGCCUGACGCAGCGACGCCGCGUGGGUGAUGAAGGCCUCGGUU